CAACCUCAACUCAUAUGGGACUUCCCCCUGAAUUUAAGCAUAUUAAUUAGGGGAGGAAAAGAAACUAACAAAGAUUUUCUUAGUAGCGGCGAGCGAAAAGAAAUCAGUUCAGCACUAAGUCACUUUGUCUAUAUGGCAAAUGUGAGAUGCAGUGUACGGAACAUCAACAUUCUAGUAUGAGAAGUUAACGAUUUAAGUCCUUCUUAAAUGAGGCCAUUUACCCAUAGAGGGUGCCAGGCCCGUAUAACGUUAAUGAUUACUAGAUGGUGUUUCCAAAGAGUCGUGUUGCUUGAUAGUGCAGCACUAAGUGGGUGGUAAACUCCAUCUAAAACUAAAUAUAACCAUGAGACCGAUAGUAAACAAGUACCGUGAGGGAAAGUUGAAAAGAACUCUGAAUAGAGAGUUAAAUAGUACGUGAAACUGCUUAGAGGUUAAGCCCGAUGAACCUGAAUAUCCGUUAUGGAAAAUUCAUCAUUAGAAUUGUAAUAUUUUAAACAAUAUUAUAAUAAUAGUGUGCACUUUUUCCAUAUAAGGACAUUGUAAUCUAUUAGCAUAAAUAUUUAUC
rnacentral:ncRNA from 1 species